AGUGAACGCUGGCGGUAGGCCUAACACAUGCAAGUCGAACGGCAGCACAGUAAGAGCUUGCUCUUACGGGUGGCGAGUGGCGGACGGGUGCGGAAUACAUCGGAAUCUACUUUUUCGUGGGGGAUAACGUAGGGAAACUUACGCUAAUACCGCAUACGACCUACGGGUGAAAGCAUGGGAUCUUCGGACCUUGCGCGAGUGAAUGAGCCGAUGUCGGAUUAGCUAGUUGGCGGGGUAAAGGCCCACCAAGGCGACGAUCCGUAGCUGGUCUGAGAGGAUGAUCAGCCACACUGGAACUGAGACACGGUCCAGACUCCUACGGGAGGCAGCAGUGGGGAAUAUUGGACCAUGGGCGCAAGCCUGAUCCAGCCAUACCGCGUGGGUGAAGAAGGCCUUCCGGUUGUAAAGCCCUUUUGUUGGGAAAGAAAAGCAGCAGGUUAAUACCCCGCUGUUCUGACGGUACCCAAAGAAUAAGCACCGGCUAACUUCGUG
rnacentral:rRNA from 1 species